UGACAAUCACCAAGGCCAAAUGACCGUUUCCAUCUUUUGUUUUUGUUUGAUUUUUAUUGUAUUUGCUCAUGAGGAACACAAAUCUGAACAAAAUUUACAUCAACACAAAUAAGAACUGGGCAAAAUCAGAACAACCAAAAUAUUUGCAAAAGAUGCAAAUCGGAUCUUCGUCGGCCCACUUCCUGUCUCCGUCAGCGGCCAACAAGGUCGUCGACUCCACCUCGCUUUAUUCAUUCCUUUCGGUUGUCAUCCAUUAAAGAUGCAAGUUGAUAGUGAAAAAGAAACAAUGGAGAAAAUGGGUUUUACGACAGAGGGAAAGAAGAUGAAUAGUACACAGCCUGAUUUUUUUUUAAAAAAAAACAAACAUAAAUGAUGUGUCACCUUUUAAUUGGCUGAGACCAAGUAUCAUUUUUUUGGUCACGGGACCACUUAAGUAUUUCU
rnacentral:lncRNA from 1 species